UGGGGAAUCUUGCGCUAAUGCGGGAAACCGUGACGCAGCGACGCCGCGUGAGGGAAGAAGGCCUUCGGGUUGUAAACCUCUUUCAGGGGGACGAAGCUACUCGGGUUAAUAGCCCAGAGGGUGACGGUACCUCCAGAAGAAGCCCCGGCUAACUACGUGCCAGCAGCCGCGGUAAUACGUAGGGGGCAAGCGUUGUCCGGAUUUAUUGGGCGUAAAGAGCGUGUAGGCGGCUUUGCAGGGUCCGUUGUGAAAACUCGAGGCUCAACCUCGAGACGCCGGUGGAAACCGCAAAGCUAGAGUCCGGAAGAGGAGAGUGGAAUUCCUGGUGUAGCGGUGAAAUGCGCAGAUAUCAGGAAGAACACCCGUGGCGAAGGCGGCUCUCUGGGACGGUACUGACGCUGAGACGCGAAAGCGUGGGGAGCGAACAGGAUUAGAUACCCUGGUAGUCCACGCCGUAAACGAUGGGUGCUAGGUGUGGGCGGUGUCGACUCCGUCCGUGCCGAAGCUAACGCAUUAAGCACCCCGCCUGGGGAGUACGGCCGC
rnacentral:rRNA from 1 species